rnacentral:rRNA from 1 species
CUAUACNUGCAGUCGAGCGAACUGAUUAGAAGCUUGCUUCUAUGACGUUAGCGGCGGACGGGUGAGUAACACGUGGGCAACCUGCCUGUAAGACUGGGAUAACUUCGGGAAACCGAAGCUAAUACCGGAUAGGAUCUUCUCCUUCAUGGGAGAUGAUUGAAAGAUGGUUUCGGCUAUCACUUACAGAUGGGCCCGCGGUGCAUUAGCUAGUUGGUGAGGUAACGGCUCACCAAGGCAACGAUGCAUAGCCGACCUGAGAGGGUGAUCGGCCACACUGGGACUGAGACACGGCCCAGACUCCUACGGGAGGCAGCAGUAGGGAAUCUUCCGCAAUGGACGAAAGUCUGACGGAGCAACGCCGCGUGAGUGAUGAAGGCUUUCGGGUCGUAAAACUCUGUUGUUAGGGAAGAACAAGUACGAGAGUAACUGCUCGUACCUUGACGGUACCUAACCAGAAAGCCACGGCUAACUACGUGCCAGCAGCCGCGGUAAUACGUAGGUGGCAAGCGUUAUCCGGAAUUAUUGGGCGUAAAGCGCGCGCAGGCGGUUUCUUAAGUCUGAUGUGAAAGCCCACGGCUCAACCGUGGAGGGUCAUUGGAAACUGGGGAACUUGAGUGCAGAAGAGAAAAGCGGAAUUCCACGUGUAGCGGUGAAAUGCGUAGAGAUGUGGAGGAACACCAGUGGCGAAGGCGGCUUUUUGGUCUGUAACUGACGCUGAGGCGCG